rnacentral:rRNA from 1 species
CCUACGGGAGGCAGCAGUGAGGAAUAUUGGUCAAUGGACGCAAGUCUGAACCAGCCAUGCCGCGUGCAGGAAGACGGCUCUAUGAGUUGUAAACUGCUUUUGUACGAGGGUAAACGCAGAUACGCGUAUCUGUCUGAAAGUAUCGUACGAAUAAGGAUCGGCUAACUCCGUGCCAGCAGCCGCGGUAAUACGGAGGAUUCAAGCGUUAUCCGGAUUUAUUGGGUUUAAAGGGUGCGUAGGCGGUCGGAUAAGUUAGAGGUGAAAUCCCGAGGCUCAACUUCGGAAUUGCCUCUGAUACUGUACGGCUAGAGAGUAGAUGCGGUAGGCGGAAUGUGUGGUGUAGCGGUGAAAUGCUUAGAGAUCACACAGAACACCGAUAGCGAAGGCAGCUUACCAAGCUACUUCUGACGUUGAGGCACGAAAGCGUGGGGAGCAAACAGGAUUAGAUACCCUUGUAGUC